GAAAUGCGAUAAGUAAUGUGAAUUGCAGAAUUCAGUGAAUCAUCGAAUCUUUGAACGCACCUUGCGCUCCUUGGUAUUCCGAGGAGCAUGCCUGUUUGAGUGUCAUUAAAUUCUCAACCUCACCAGUUUUGUAAUGAGACAGGUGAAGGCUUGGAUGUGGGGGUUUGCAGGCUGCCUCAGUGCUGGUCUGCUCCUCUGAAAUGCAUUAGCGAGCUCAUAUUGAGCUUCCGUCUAUUGGUGUGAUAACUAUCUAUGCCGUGGAUUGGAACUCAUGCUUGCUUCUAACCGUCCGCAAGGACAAUUUACUUGACCAAUUUGACCUCAAAUCAGGUAGGACUACCCGCUGAACUUAA
rnacentral:misc_RNA from 1 species